rnacentral:rRNA from 1 species
CACGUAGGGCGCAAGCGUUGUCCGGAAUUAUUGGGCGUAAAGAGCUCGUAGGCGGUCUGUUGCGUCCGCUGUGAAAACUCGGGGCUUAACCCCGAGCCUGCAGUGGAUACGGGCAGACUAGAGGUAGGUAGGGGAGAAUGGAAUUCCGGUGUAGCGGUGAAAUGCGCAGAUAUCGGAGGAACACCGGUGGCGAAGGCGGUUCUCUGGGCCUUACCUGACGCUGAGAGCGAAGCGU